AUUGAACGCUGGCGGCAGGCCUAACACAUGCAAGUCGAGCGAGCGGCGGGCGGGUGAGUAAUGUAUGGGGGCUGCCCGUUAGGGGGGGGUAACAACUGGAAACGGUGGAUCAAACCGCACACUAUCUGAUAACGCCUAUGGGAUUUGCUCGUAGGUGGGGGAAUGGCUCACCAAGGCGACGAUCCCUAGCUGGUCUGAGAGGAUGAGCAGCCACACUGGGACUGAGAAACGGCCCAGACUCCUACGGAGGCAGCAGUGGGGAAUAUUGCACAAUGGGCGCAAGCCUGAUGCAGCCAUGCCGCGUGUAUGAAGAAGGCCUUAGGGUUGUAAAGUACUUUCAGUCGGGAGGCGUUACCGACAGAAGAAGCACCGGCUAACUCCGUGCCAGCAGCCGCGGUAAUAC
rnacentral:rRNA from 1 species